rnacentral:misc_RNA from 1 species
GAUGAAGAACGCAGCGAAAUGCGAUAAGUAAUGUGAAUUGCAGAAUUCAGUGAAUCAUCGAAUCUUUGAAUGCACAUUGCGCCCGCCAGUAUUCUGGCGGGCAUGCCUGUCUGAGCGUCAUUUCAACCCUCAUGCCCCUAGGGCGUGGUGUUGGGGAUCGGCCAAAGCCCGCGAGGGACGGCCGGCCCCUAAAUCUAGUGGCGGACCCGUCGUGGCCUCCUCUGCGAAGUAGUGAUAUUCCGCAUCGGAGAGCGACGAGCCCCUGCCGUUAAACCCCCAACUUUCCAAGGUUGACCUCAGAUCAGGUAGGAAUACCCGCUGAACUUAAGCAUAUCAAUAAGCGGAGGA